rnacentral:rRNA from 1 species
UACGGAGGGUGCAAGCGUUAUCCGGAUUCACUGGGUUUAAAGGGUGCGUAGGUGGGCUUGUAAGUCAGCGGUGAAAUCUCCGGGCUUAACCCGGAAACUGCCAUUGAUACUAUAAGUCUUGAAUUAUCUGGAGGUAAGCGGAAUAUGUCAUGUAGCGGUGAAAUGCUUAGAUAUGACAUAGAACACCAAUUGCGAAGGCAGCUUACCACGGAUCGAUUGACACUGAGGCACGAAAGCGUGGGGAUCAAACAGG